UUAGUAAUGUUAGGAUAACACAGGGACUUUGAGGUGAUGGAGGUAACGUUAGUAAAGUUAGGAUAACACAGGGACUUUGAGUUGAUGGAGGGAACGUUAGUAAAGUUAGGAUUACACAGUGACUUUGAGGUGAUGGAGGUAACGUUAGUAAAGUUAGGAUAACACAGGGACUUUGAGGUGAUGGAGGUAACGUUAGUAAAGUUAGGAUUACACAGGGACUUUGAGGUGAUGGAGGUAACGUUAGUAAUGUUAGGAUAACACAGGGACUUUGAGGUGAUGGAGGUAAUGUUAGUAAAGUUAGAAUUACACAGGGACUUUGAGGUGAUAGAGGUUAUGUUAGUAAAGUUAGGAUUACACAGGGACUUUGAGGUGAAGGAGGUAACAUUAGUAAAGUUAGGAUUACACAGGGACUUUGAGGUGAUGGAGGUAACGUUAGUAAAGUUAGGAGAACACAGGGACUUUGAGGUGAUGGAGGUAACGUUAGUAAAGUUAGGAUUACACAGGGACUUUGAGGUGAUGGAGGUAACGUUAGUAAUGUUAGGAUAACACAGGGACUUUGAGGUGAUGGAGGUAAUGUUAGUAAAGUUAGAAUUACACAGGGACUUUGAGGUGAUAGAGGUUAUGUUAGUAAAGUUAGGAUUACACAGGGACUUUGAGGUGAAGGAGGUAACAUUAGUAAAGUUAGGAUUACACAGGGACUUUGAGGUGAUGGAGGUAACGUUAGUAAAGUUAGGAGAACACAGGGACUUGGAGGUGAUGGAGGUAACGUUAGUAAAGUUAGGAUUACACAGGGACUUUGAGGUGAUGGAGGUAACGUUAGUAAAGUUAGGAGAACACAGGGACUUGGAGGUGAUGGAGGUAACGUUAGUAAAGUUAGGAUUACACAGGGACUUUGAGGUGAUGGAGGUAACGUUAGUAAAGUUAGGAUUACACAGGGACUUUGAGGUGAUGGAGGUAAUGUUAGUAAAGUAAGUUAGGAUUACACAGGGACUUUGAGGUGAUGGAGGUAAUGUUAGUAAAGUUAGUAUUACACAGGGACUUUGAGGUGAUGGAGGUAAUGUUAGUAAAGUUAGGAUAACACAGGGAUUUUGAGGUGAUGGAGGUAAUGUUAGUAAAGUUAGUAUUACACAGGGACUUUGAGGUGAUGGAGGUAAUGUUAGUAAAGUUAGGAUAACAAAGGGACUUUGAGGUGAUGGAGGUAAUGUUAGUAAAGUUAGGAUUACACAGGGACUUUGAGGUGAUGGAGGUAACGUUAGUAAAGUUAGGAUUACACAGGGACUUUGAGGUGAUGGAGGUAACGUUAGUAAAGUUAGGAGAACACAGGGACUUGGAGGUGAUGGAGGUAACGUUAGUAAAGUUAGGAUUACACAGGGACUUUGAGGUGAUGGAGGUAACGUUAGUAAAGUUAGGAGAACACAGGGACUUGGAGGUGAUGGAGGUAACGUUAGUAAAGUUAGGAUUACACAGGGACUUUGAGGUGAUGGAGGUAACGUUAGUAAAGUUAGGAUUACACAGGGACUUUGAGGUGAUGGAGGUAACGUUAAUAAAGUUAGGAGAAAACAGGGACUUUGAGGUGAUGGAGGUAAUGUUAGUAAAGUAAGUUAGGAUUACACAGGGACUUUGAGGUGAUGGAGGUAAUGUUAGUAAAGUUAGUAUUACACAGGGACUUUGAGGUGAUGGAGGUAAUGUUAGUAAAGUUAGGAUAACACAGGGAUUUUGAGGUGAUGGAGGUAAUGUUAGUAAAGUUAGGAUUACACAGGGACUUUGAGGUGAUGGAGGUAACGUUAGUAAAGUUAGGAUUACACAGGGACUUUGAGGUGAUGGAGGAAAUGUUAGUAAAGUUAGUAUUACACAGGGACUUUGAGGUGAUGGAGGUAACUUUAGUAAAGUUAGGAUUACACAGGGACUUUGAGGUGAUGGAGGUAAUGUUAGUAAAGUUAGGAUUACACAGGGACUUUGAGGUGAUGGAGGUAACGUUAGUAAAGUUAGGAGAACACAGGGACUUUGAGGUGAUGGAGGUAACGUUAGAAAAGUUAGGAUUACACAGGGACUUUGAGGUGAUGGAGGUAACGUUAGUAAUGUUAGGAUAACACAGGGACUUUGAGGUGAUGGAGGUAAUGUUAGUAAAGUUAGAAUUACACAGGGACUUUGAGGUGAUAGAGGUUAUGUUAGUAAAGUUAGGAUUACACAGGGACUUUGAGGUGAAGGAGGUAACAUUAGUAAAGUUAGGAUUACACAGGGACUUUGAGGUGAUGGAGGUAACGUUAGUAAAGUUAGGAGAACACAGGGACUUGGAGGUGAUGGAGGUAACGUUAGUAAAGUUAGGAUUACACAGGGACUUUGAGGUGAUGGAGGUAACGUUAGUAAAGUUAGGAGAACACAGGGACUUGGAGGUGAUGGAGGUAACGUUAGUAAAGUUAGGAUUACACAGGGACUUUGAGGUGAUGGAGGUAACGUUAAUAAAGUUAGGAGAAAACAGGGACUUUGAGGUGAUGGAGGUUAUGUUAGUAAAGUAAGUUAGGAUUACACAGGGACUUUGAGAUGAUGGAGGUAAUGUUAGUAAAGUUAGUAUUACACAGGGACUUUGAGGUGAUGGAGGUAAUGUUAGUAAAGUUAGGAUAACAAAGGGACUUUGAGGUGAUGGAGGUAAUGUUAGUAAAGUUAGGAUUACACAGGGACUUUGAGGUGAUGGAGGUAACGUUAGUAAAGUUAGGAUUACACAGUGACUUUGAUGUGAUGGAGGUAACGUUAGUAAAGUUAGGAUUACACAGGGACUUUGAGGUGAUGGAGGUAACGUUAGUAAAGUUAGGAUUACACAGUGACUUUGAUGUGAUGGAGGUAACGUUAAUAAAUUUAGGAGAAAACAGGGACUUUGAGGUGAUGGACGUAAUGUUAGUAAAGUAAGUUAGGAUUACACAGGGACUUUGAGGUGAUGGAGGUAAUGUUAGUAAAGUUAGGAUAACACAGGGACUUUGAGGUGAUGGAGGUAACGUUAGUAAAGUUAGGAUAACACAGGGACUUUGAGUUGAUGGAGGUAAUGUUAGCUCUAUUACAUGAGAAUGAUGAGCAAUGGAUAAUAAAACAGCAAAUGGUCAAAAAUGAGAAGUGUUGGAUGAGCAGCAAGUGUGCAUUUUAGGCUACAUCAUUUUAUUUUAGAUAUUUGGGUUAAAGCUGUGUUGAAAGGCCGCAUAGUUUGAGUUUUAUAGCCUCUACGCUGUGGAUCAGCAUGUUUUAAAAAGCACUAAAACAGAAAUAGCAGAUUUUAAAACUGAUAAAUGAUCAGUUAACUUCAAAAGUAAGUGGAAAAAAAUAUAAAAGUAUUAUUAGCAAAAGGUCUGCCUACACUGAAUAAGAGUAAAACAGUGUCAAAUGCUUUUAAGACAUAGUUGCGUUGCAUUAAUUCAUAAAGCAGCCCUGUUUGUAGCCUGAUAUAAAUACAUGUUAUAGCUGUUUAAAGGAAUAAGCACCUUUAACCUAAAGAAUUAGAAUUGAGCUGUUAUAUCAGAUAUUUUCAGAAAAUAUAGACAUAUUAGACAUGAAUUUAAUACCCCCCCAUUUUACAAAAAUUACACUGUCCAGUGAAACAACACAUCUUAUAGGCCACUAUAUGUUAUUUAAACAACUUGUAUAGUCAGUAUACUGUAAUGGCAUAAAUUCAGCCUAGCUUAAAAUUCUCUCUGACGUAAUGUGGCAUUUCUGUAAUAUUUCAGUUACUUUAACUGGACAAAUGUAUUUUUUUGUUAAAAAGAGUAGCUUGUGCAGUGUAAUUUUCACAAAGGACAAAAAAGUAGCAUGCAUGGUCAAUACGAUAAUCACUAAGCCCCUGUAAAUAACAUCAGGGACCUUUAUAAUUGCCCUGAAUCCCUUCAUUAUUAAGGGCUAAGAAAUAGCCCUUACUAAAAAAUCCUUACUAAUCAUUCACUGUAAUGUUCCAGUAUCCAAGGCAAAGCAAGCCCUGGCUGUAAUAUAUGUAUCUCAGCAGUCCAAAUGUCACUAACCAGCCUCUUCAUUAGUCUUUACUCUUAGCUAAUGAAUCUGAAUGACCUCUAAAUAUGCUUCUAAAGUUU